CAGUCGUAGAGCUGAAGCAGGUAGCAUCAACACAUAAAUCUACUCUACCUGGCUUAAAUCACAAGACUACCUCUGACCGAAAAGCUGUAGAUUUUUCUUGUUUGCACAAAAUAAUUCAGAUUCACACUAAUUCUUUUCACAGCUCCAACAAAAUGAGGAAGAGGAGCGGGAGAAAAACAAUUAGAUUGAAUUACAAUUGGAUGGAUGUCGAGGACAAGGAGGAGGAAGCUUAGGAUGAGGAGGAAGAAAAGCAGCAGGAGCAUCUUUGGGGAUCUCUAUGAUGUCAUUGAGAGGCGGCGGCGAGAGGGGAGACCUCAGCUCAUCCAGCUGGACAGCCUGACCAGGAGGAGUCUACAUUAACUCGGCUCUUCCAGGGCACCCUGCAGACUCGGCUGCUGGCAACACUGGGAUGACGUGAACGCCAAACAGGAGUCCAUCACAGGUCGACUGCAGCUCCUUGUCUCAGAGUGGGAGGGAUUUGAAGCACA